rnacentral:lncRNA from 1 species
AUGGUGCCAGUAAUAAUGUGCAUGGUCCUACUUACUCUGCUCUGUCCCUCUCUGUUUCAGGGGAGAAUAUGGCCCAGGGCAUCCUUCCGUUCCAUGUAUCAUGCUUCCAUUUCCCUUCACCCCACAGGAGAUGAAGAACUUCAGAUUGAUGGAAGAGCUGACCUGUUUUUGGUUAUUUUCACUUUUCAAAUCAACUUUUUGUUCAGUCUCAUUGAACUCCCACUUUUGGUGGAUUUCUGACUGUCUGAUGCUGUUCCAUUAAUCCCAGGAGGAAUGGAUUCAUGAUCAGAACAGAGGUGAGGAGUUGAAAGUUCAUGGAAAAUGAAAGUUCUGAUAUUAUUCCAUAAUUUAUAGUGUGGAUAUUGCUGUUAUACAAAGGGAAUCUGUUGGUAUAGAUGUGUAUAUUUUCAAAAGAAUUAAAUGGCUGAGUUUUUCCUCAGUGGG